UUAUGCCUACGGGGGGCAGCAGUGGGGGAUAUUGCACAAUGGGGGGAACCCUGAUGCAGCGACGCCGCGUGGGUGAAGGAGCGUUUCUGCGCGUAAAGCCCUGUCAGCGGGGAAGAAGAAAGACGGUACCCGACCAAGAAGCCCCGGCUAACUACGUGCCAGCAGCCGCGGUAAUACGUAGGGGGCGAGCGUUAUCCGGAAUUACUGGGUGUAAAGGGAGCGUAGACGGCGAGGUAAGCCUGAAGUGGAAGCCCGCGGCCCAACCGCGGAACUGCUUUGGGAACUGAUUUGCUGGAGUAUGGGAG
rnacentral:rRNA from 1 species